rnacentral:rRNA from 1 species
CCGAUCUACGGGGGGCAGCAGUAGGGAAUAUUGCUCAAUGGGGGAAACCCUGAAGCAGCAACGCCGCGUGGAGGAUGAAGGUUUUCGGAUUGUAAACUCCUUUUGUUAGAGAAGAUAAUGACGGUAUCUAACGAAUAAGCACCGGCUAACUCCGUGCCAGCAGCCGCGGGAAUACGGAGGGUGCAAGCGUUACUCGGAAUCACUGGGCGUAAAGAGCGCGUAGGCGGGAUAGCAAGUCAGAUGUGAAAUCCUAUGGGUUAACCAUAGAACGGCAUUUGAAACUGUUAUUCUAGAGGAUGGUAGAG